GCGGAAUUGGCGAAAUUGGCAGACGCGCAAGAUUCAGGGUCUUGUCACCGCCGAGGUGGUGUGAGUUCGAGUCUCACAUUCCGCACCA
rnacentral:tRNA from 1 species